rnacentral:rRNA from 1 species
UACGUAGGCGGAACUUUAAGUCAGUGGUGAAAUCCUGCGGCUCAACCGUAGAACUGCCAUUGAUACUGAUGUUCUUGAAUAUAGUUGAGGUAGGCGGAAUGUGUAAUGUAGCGGUGAAAUGCUUAGAUAUUACACAGAACACCGAUUGCGAAGGCAGCUUACUAAACUAUUAUUGACGCUGAGGUACGAAAGCGUGGGGAGCGAACAGGAUUAGAUACCCUGGUAGUCC